GCGGGGGAGAAAAUUGCUAGGAUACAAAUUCAAAUAAGUGAACAUCUACUGUUAGAUGGCUACAAUUAUUGCCCAAGAGGGACUAUCGAAUCUUGCAUGUUACUGUUAUUAAUAUGAUUUAGUUCAAAUUGUAAGUUCACAUAAUUUUGACAAUCUUGCAAUGUCUUCGCCUGUACCUAAGCAUCUGUCAGCACAGUGAACUUGAUCAUUGAAUUCUUGUACCAAAAAUGCUAUACAUCAAUAAGGUCCCUACACAUCAUGAAAGAGCCUCCUUAUUUGGUCAACAGUCGCUGGCAUCAAUGUGACAGGGCAGCGGUUAUACUGAGAUACGUAUUUGAAUAUGCAAGCAUAACAAAAGACAAACCCUGAUACUGUAACUACAGAAGGAUUUGCGCGCUUCUGUGUGCACAAGGGGCAGAUUGUUCUAUCAGGUGGCAGUGGAAUCCCCUCUUUGGCUACCUUUGGAGGUGGAGGAGGUGGUGGUGGUGGAUACACAGUUGGAGCUGACAUUCUCUCCUCAGCAGAUUGGUACCACCAUUCCAUCAUUUUAAAGAAGAAAACUGCUGCAAUUAAGCCAGUUUGUGCAUAGUCAAGCACAGUAUAUGUACACCUCAAUAAUGCUCCUUGUAAAGCCUUCAACCAUGGAGGGCCACGAAGUCUCUCACGUUCACGAUUUCGCAUCUUAGAAAUUCUAGAAGAAGUAUCCAUCAGUUCUUGCCCAGUUGCUCGACAAACAUGAAUCCCAAGUGCAUGUAAUCCUAGAGAAUAGAACCCAGUAGCAUCAAGCAGAUACAAGAGUUGAUAAGUGAAUGACAAUCCUUCACUAGUAGCAUGCAACCAUGGGUAGCAAGCAAAUACAAUCUUCUGAAGUCUCUUUGUCAAACGUGAUCUAACCGUUGCUUCUGCAUCCAUAGUUCCUCUGGAAACAAGAGAACCCUCUCUUCUAUCAAAAUAAUCAGCAUCCCCAAAUGUUUCAUCACCAUCCCCCCAUAGACUAGCUUGAAGUCUGGCUUCCCUUUCUUUAUUAUAUAUUGAAUGCAGUUUUGACUUAAAAUAAGGCAGCACAACCAGAAAUACAACUGAAAGGACUCUUUGGCGCUUUUCUAACCCAGAAAGCUCAAUUCCAUCCCUUGAGUUCAAAGAAGCAUCAUUUUUCUUUGCUCUUAUCUUCACUGUUCUUCUUCGCAAUCCAUAUAGAGAUUCAGAAAAAGAAGCAUC
rnacentral:misc_RNA from 1 species